rnacentral:rRNA from 1 species
GACGAACGCUGGCGGCGUGCUUAACACAUGCAAGUCGAACGAUGAAAGAGGAGCUUGCUCCUCUGGAUUAGUGGCGAACGGGUGAGUAACACGUGAGCAAUCUGCCCCUGACUCCGGAAUAACUACGGGAAACUGUAGCUAAUACCGGAUAUGCGCCGAACAGGCAUCUGUAUCGGUGGGAAAGAAUUUCGGUCAGGGAUGAGCUCGCGGCCUAUCAGCUUGUUGGUGAGGUAACGGCUCACCAAGGCGACGACGGGUAGCCGGCCUGAGAGGGUGACCGGGCAGGGUGGGAAUGAGCCACGACCCAGAGUCGGAGGGGAGGCAGCAGGGGGGAAGAUUGGGCAAGGGGAGAAAGAAGGAUCCAGCAGUGGGGAGGGAGUGAUGAAGGCCUUAGGGGCGGAAAGCUCGCUGGACAGGGACGAGAAAGACAGUACCGGGAGAAUAAGCGCCGGCUAACUUCGUG